GCUGCCUCUAGAAACAUAGCAAGUGUGGUUAUUAUGUCACAUUUGCAACCAUAGGUGGCAGAGAGGAGAAAGGCAAUGUCUAUGCUCGGUAUUCUGAUCUACAAACAUUCGAAUGAUUAGCAGCCUAGCCUU
ensembl:snoRNA Gm24232 small nucleolar RNA SNORA17